rnacentral:tRNA from 1 species
GCUCGCUUAGCUCAGUUGGUUAGAGCGUGGUGCUAAUAACGCCAAGGUCACAGGUUCGAUCCCUGUAGUGAGCA